rnacentral:lncRNA from 1 species
CCCCGCGCCGCCGCCGCCGCACGCAGCGCCCGGGCCGGCCCGGCCGGAGACGCCACCUGGUACUGCCGGCCGCGGGGGGUGGCCGCGGGAGACGGGUCCCUGCUGGCGGCCGGGGCGCUGUGGGAGCCUUCCCCCCAACCCCGGAUUAUGUUUUUAUCCGUCUUGUUUGGGUCUAUUUAUUUAUUUAUUUAUUCUGCCUGAAGUGCCGGGAUUUGCCGGCGGAGCACAAAUAAAUGGGCCCCCUUCUUAGGCGUCCGUAGGUGCCGCAUCCGUCACAUGCAGUUCCCGAGCACUGCGAAGUCUACAUUAAAACGUGCUGGAAAACGUCUGCUCCGGCUGUARUAGUAAUAGCGAUAAUAAUAAAAUGACAGAACGGGGAGCGAUUUACAUGCUGUUGAAGGGGAGGAAUUGCUGGAGAGUAAUAAUAGAAAAGAAAACAAGUCGGAAGCCCGUUAUAUAAUGCACUAUGUAGAUAACGAGAACGACGGGCUAUUUUUAUUUUGUUUACCGUAUGCUGUGUAAUAGGGACUCCUGCAAGCAGCAUCUCUCCCCUGCGAGCCUGAACUCCAGGCAGAAUUAGCAAAAAUUAUAAGGCAUUCCUGUUAUGCCCACACGGAGAGAGCUAGCUGAGUAAAACGUUUCUCCUUACAGAUGUAUUUUGUGGACAAAUCAGGAAUUGUGCAGUCACGUUGCAGGCCAAACCAGAUGGGCAAGCAAUACAAGCUGUGAAUUUAUUCUUGAUCCCUGUAGGACAGUGACCACCUCCGUUUUUACCAUCACCGUACAGAUAUGCACUGUCAAUAAGUCCCUUUCAAGCGUUUCAAGUGAACAGGCUGAGGCGUACCGUGUUCUGAGGACCCUGAUUCAGCAAAGCACUUUAACCAUACGGACAAGCUCCACUGGAGUGCAAGAAGCCAAGGAAAAUAUUUAAAAUGGUAGAAGAACUGGCAGGAAAACUUCAGCGAUUAGGGCAGUCCUGGUGCUUGAAACUACUUUGACCUCUUCCCUCUCUCCUCCAUCGUUCACUUCAAGAUGCUAUUGUUGAUGUCGUCAUCAUCAUCAUCAUCAUCAUUAUUAUUAUUUUGUUGUUGUUGUUGUUGUUGUAAUCUUAUAUUAGAAUAUAAUAAUAAUCUUAUUCAUAUGGUGACAUAAAGAUGAAUGACAUCAGAAUACUUUGUUCUUUCUUGAGGUGUAUUAUGGUUACGCCUUCAUUUGCAAAUAGUGUGGACCAACUGGAGAGGAUCUGUACAGUGAAACAGUUG